rnacentral:rRNA from 1 species
CCUACGGGGGGCUGCAGUGGGGAAUAUUGCACAAUGGGGGAAACCCUGAUGCAGCAACGCCGCGUGAGUGAAGAAGGUUUUCGGAUUGUAAAGCUCUGUUAGCAGGGAAGAGGAAGGACGGUACCUGCCGAGGAAGCCACGGCUAACUACGUGCCAGCAGCCGCGGUAAUACGGAGGUGGCGAGCGUUGUUCGGAAUAACUGGGCGUAAAGGGAGCGUAGACGGGAGCACAAGUCUGGAGUGAAAUCCCGGGGCUUAACCCCGGAACUGCGUUGGAAACUGUGCGGCUGGAGUGCAGGAGGGGUAAGCGGAAUUCCUAGUGUAGCGGUGAAAUGCGUAGAUAUUAGGAGGAACACCGGUGGCGAAGGCGGCUUACUGGACUGUAACUGACGUUGAGGCUCGAAAGCGUGGGGAGCAAACAGGAUUAGAUACCCGAGUAGUC